GUUAUGUACUGGAAGAAGAGUUGUAUGCGCGCGCGAACAAGAAAUAACAUCACAUGUCAGGAGGUAUUAGCAACUUUCGGGUUAAAAAUAAUACAAAUUUCUCGAGAAUUUUUUUUUCCUUACUGCUCUUUCAUACAAUUUUCGCUGCUAUUAAAAACGCUUCUUCUAAGCAGAUGUUGUAUCGAGAGUAGGUUGAUUGUAUGAGAGUAGGUUGAUUGAACCUUUCGAAAUGACAAAGGUGAAAAAAAGCGAACAGAAUUAUAGGCACCAAAUUUUUGAAGUUAUUCUAUCCAUCAAAAUGUACGCCUUUUUUAAUGUUGAAAACGCAGUAUAAGAGUAAACUCGUUCGAACUCGCCUUACCGUAUUGACUCACUGUAACUCAUCCUCUAUAUACAAUAACGCAAUCUUCACUAUUUACACUCGACAAAAAGUCAACCAAAAGUAACAAGAU